UACAGAGGUCUCGAGCGUUGUUCGGAUUCAUUGGGCGUAAAGGGCGCGUAGGCGGCGGGGUAAGUCUGGUGUGAAAUCUCGGAGCUCAACUCCGAAAUUGCACUGGAUACUGCUCUGCUAGAGGGCUGGAGAGGAGAUCGGAAUUCACGGUGUAGCAGUGAAAUGCGUAGAUAUCGUGAGGAAGACCAGUGGCGAAGGCGGAUCUCUGGACAGCUCCUGACGCUGAGGCGCGAAGGCUAGGGGAGCAAAUGGG
rnacentral:rRNA from 1 species